rnacentral:rRNA from 1 species
GGGUCAGUAGGUUGGUCGUGCCACCCGUACGUACUGGUCUCACUGAUUCCUCCUUCCUGAAGAACCGUAAUGCCAUUAAUUUGGUGUUGCGGGGAGACAGGACUGUUACUUUGAAAAAAUUAGAGUGUUUAAAGCAAGCUAACGCUUGAAUACAUUAGCAUGGAAUAAUGAAAUAGGACGAUCGAUCCUAUUUUGUUGGUUUCUAGGAUUGACGUA